UACGUAGGGGGCAAGCGUUGUCCGGAUUUACUGGGUGUAAAGGGCGUGCAGCCGGGAAUGCAAGUCAGAUGUGAAAUCCCGCGGCUCAACCGCGGAACUGCAUUUGAAACUGUGUUUCUUGAGUACUGGAGAGGCAGACGGAAUUCCUAGUGUAGCGGUGAAAUGCGUAGAUAUUAGGAGGAACACCAGUGGCGAAGGCGGUCUGCUGGACAGCAACUGACGGUGAGGCGCGAAAGCGUGGGGAGCAAACAGG
rnacentral:rRNA from 1 species